GGUGGGGGUGGGGCAAAGGGCCAGAGAGGUAUGGGUGCCCACAUUGGACUAGAGAAUCUGUUGAAAGAGGGGAAGAAACCUCAAUGUCCCCUAGGAUCCCUUCCACUCUUGGUCUUUCUGUAAUCUGGGAUUAGGAUGAGGUCUCUGAUGCAAAGGUUAUACUUGUAAGAAUAUAAACAAUCAGGUAACAGCAAUAUGAAUAGAAAUUCAGUUCUGAGGCAUUUCUCUCACAAACAGGUGCAUUUUGGGGGAUUGUGCUAAUGAAUUCAGGAAUCACAGGGUGCCUUGGGAGCUGUCAUCAGUCUCUUUUCCCCCUAGCUCAUCAUCCAUGAUCUGAUUCUCUUAAAAGAUCAGGUGCGUGCAUUGAUCCAUACCUCUGUUUUUGUGAUGUUGUUGUUGCUGUUUUAUUACUGGAGUCAUCUGCUGGAUUUCUUUGAAGGGAGAUGGCAUGGCCUAGCUUUCAAAGUCCCUUCCAAGGCAAAAAAUAGAGGAAGGAAAGAAUGACUGGCUCAUACCUGGCAUUGUUAUUCAUAUUUUCUCUCUCUCUCUCCCGUUUUCCUGAUAACUCCUUAUUCCCUACUAUCCUAGGAUGCCUUGAACUGGGGCACAGUUACAGUAGACUGUGCAGGAACAUCUCUGAUCCAGGCAAAAAUGAAGUUAUUUCUCUAUACCCAACAAAACGUUCAUUAUAACAGUGCUUUCCCACUAACUGUUUCUCUUUACCCUGUCCAUUAUACAGAAAGAAAAGACUUGAUUUUGUAGUGUUUGCAUGGGAUCUUGGAAGGAGAGAAGAAAACUGAACAAAGAUUUACAGGUUCCUUAUUCUGCCAUUAAGUUGCAAUUACAAUUCAACUGACCUUAUCUCCCCAAAUCAAAUGUUCCAAUUACUCCAAUAUAAUUCCCAAUGUGACUCCAAAAUGAAUGAACGAGGGGUGACAUAUGUGAAAAGCAAGAGAACUAGAAUAUCUUAUCUUCUCCGGGGUUCAGAAUUCCUUAACCAGUGCUGUCCAGGGAAACUCAGAGCAAUCAAUCUCUAGGACUAAAAGAACGGUAAACAGGAUUUUGACCACCUUGCCAGGAAACUCCCAGAACAAUGUGGUUGCCUGCUCCUCACCCAACCCUAACAUUUGUAGGCAGAAAGGAAUUUUUCAUGUAGAAAGAAAAAGAUAAAUUUAUUUAAUUUUCUUUUUUUCAUUUUCAUUUUUUUAAAGCAGCCUUUGAACCAGAGGAGAGCCCAUCACCACCUCAAGCCUGAUCCUUUGUGUACAAGGCAGAGCAAAGAAGAAGUAAGAUUUCUUCCUCAGUCUCUUUUGUGUACAGGAAGUCCUGGGCCUUCUCCCAUCAGAAAUCUGACUCAGCAGGGAACAAAUGGGUCAGGUUCCCAUAUUAUAUUUGUGUCAGGACAGCAAAGGGAAGGCAAAGUUUGUAUUCAGAACCAUCAAGAAGAAGACCUGGAUCUAAGAGGCAAAGCUGUUAGAGUAAAGUAAUGCUGAGUCUCCCUCCAAAAGAAGCAUUUUUAUCAUAUCUAGGGCCAUCAUUAUCCAGCUUACUAAGGAAGAUGCUAAGGAAGAAGAGAAAAUAUUGGGCCUUUCACAAGGGAGGGACCUGGUGAGAAACUCAAAGGGUAAGAAAUACUAGGGCCCUCUCACAAGGAGGAGAGAAAAUAAAAGUAGUCACCAUCCCUGACUGGAAGGCUGGUCCCAAAAGAUUAAGUCCAUUUUCUGGGCUACUUCUAUGAUUCUCACAUUGUAGGCCUUUGUUGGGAGCAUCUUUUAUAGGGUAAAGCUAGGGUGUUAUAUGAACAGAUACGGGAGAUGAGGCAUAGCCAGAAAAAAAAUUAUAAUGGCCUAGGCUCAUCAAACUAAGGUCUGGCAGAGAAACUUGGGAAUAGGGUCUGCAAACUAAGGUCCAGUAUUAACAACUAGUAUCAUGGCCUCAGGGACACAAAUAGACAAUAGAUAAGAAUAGUCAGAGCUGUGUCUUCAACAGGGAGAUUGUUGAGAAAUUCUAGCACAUAGUCCUAAAAGCAUCAAGAAUCACCCCGUUGUGGUCCACCCUCCAAAAGACCAUGAGCUAUGGAAAAUACAGCUACUAGGUUUAGCCCCUCCUGUGACAAUACCCACAUCAAUUCACCACCAUCCAUCAACACCAUCAGCUGCCUCAACACCUACUGAAGUUGAUUCAACACCACAGGCACUCAGCAAUUGCUGUGACAGGAAGACAAUCAGGACACAAUUUCGGAGAACACAGGCUUGAGGGCCUUGAGCAACAUUCGUCUGCUCAAAAGGAAUUGAAGAGAGACAUGAUUACCAGGAGACCUAAAAUGUGACUGAGAAAGAAGAGAGACAUUUUAUGAGAAAGGAGCUCCUGGCACUGGACAGGCAAGGCAGUACCUCGGGAUAGCAAUGGAAUCAGUUUUGCCAGCUGCAAAGGAGAAAUAAAUCCAAGAAAAGCAAGCAAGUCUCUGUCUGCUAGAAGAAAUGCUCUGCAAAGCCCAGAGAGGUACAGAAAGCAGUUGGACUCUCCCUUCUGGGAAUAAGAUGGAAAGAGUCAAUGAUCUACCCCAAUUAGGAAUGGUGAUGCUUCUAAAAAGCAGUUUUAAAAGAUUACUAAGAAACUGAAAGUGAAUGUUCUAGAGAAAAAUGGGAUGAAGAAAUGGUAGAUUGUCAUCUUUGUGUCUUAAAAGGUCACCUAGAAGGUGGAGGGGGGAAUGUAGAUUUUUAAAAUAUAAGUCAUUUGAGGUUGAGAAAAGAGAUGCCUUAAGGUAGGGCUGCUAAAAGAACAUAUUGCUCCUUUCACGGGGACAUAUACUGUACCAGGGAAAAAUGUAGAGAGGGUCUACCAUACAACAGGGACUCAGAAAAUGUAUGUUGAAUGACUGAUCAUUGGGAUUAGUUAUGGUCACUAGCAGGUCCAGAGAAUAAGAAAUGAUCGAUACAAAGAAACCUGUAGUAGCUACAAUUUCUCUGUGGUUAUGGUAACAAACAAAAGUUCACAAAUUCAAAACUACUAUUAUUCUGUUUUUACAUUUCUGUCAAUCAUCAGCUUUAUUUAAAAAAAAUUCUUCUGCAGUGGGAGAGAAUGCACCCCUCUCAGUCACUAACUUUGUAGAGUACAGUGGAAGGAACACUGGGCUAGGAGUCAGAAGAUGAUGUCAUUAUUCCCAUUCUACCAUAUACCAAGAGAAAUCUUGGUCAAGUCACUGGACCUCAAUUUCCUCAUCUGUAAAAUGGGGUUGAUUCUACCCACUCUUUCUACUUCUGGGAGUUGUUGUGAGGCUUAGAUGAGAAUAAUGAAUGGGAAUGUGCUUUAAAAGGCAUCAAGUUCCUAUAAAUGUCAAAUGUUGAAGAAAGAUAGUUUGGAGUGGGAGAUUGACUGGCCAUUGAGGCAGUGUACCUUUCAUAGUGACCAAACUCUAUUAAGAUUACCUCAGUUCUAGUUCUCAGCUUCAAAGACACAGAAACAUGAAUAUAUCAGCUCACUCUGAGGAGAUAAAGUUCCAAGAAAUUUAUUCAUACCAAACAAACUCCAAAGAGACCAAGUGUUUCACCAGCAUAUUAAUUGACAAAAAGAGAUUUGUUUGGCAUGACAAUUGGUACCAGUCAUUCAGACAAGGCCCUCUCUCCAGAUGGGAAACUUCACCUAGUUAUACAGUAUAGGAUUAGAACAAAAGAGAACUGGAUGUUCUGAAGAGAUAAUUUGUAGACUAGGCCAUGUAUCUUGGCACAUUUCUCUCCAAACAGAACUUAAUUUUUAGUACCAAUGCUGGCUAAACACUGACAAAACCCUACUCUUGGGCUUUCCUUUAUCAAGAUUCCAUGCAGACAAAUAGCUUUUGACAAGACUACCAUGAAAAAUUUUUAAUAGAUAAGCUUCUUGUGUUUGGGAUGGGUUUUCCUGGAGAGAUUUCAGAAGUCAUCCUAAACUUAACAAUCAAUAACCCAUGUAGAUAGGAUAUCUUAGAGGAGGGUUAGUCCUUCAAAUGGCUAACCUCAUACAUUUGAUAUUGGUUCUUAAUUGCUACCAUUUCCCAGUGGUAACAUUUAUCAUGUUUGCAAAUUCAAGGCUUAGGUCUAGCCUAGGUCUUGUGAUUCCCUCUGACACUGAUAAUAUAAAUUAUUAAUAUAAACAUGGAGGUAAUUACUCUUCCUAUUAUUGUCUUUCGGCAUUCCUUCUACUGGAUAGCUAUUGCCUUUAUGGAUGAUGACUUUGUGUCCACAGUCUACACUGGUCUGCCAAUCCAUAUUUAAAAUAUGCAUUUGGCCUAGUUAGGAAAGAAUGAGAGAAGCACAGAAGGGAAAGGCAGGGAUGGACUGUGAUCUCCACUGUUGGAGGAAGUACUUGCAUCAAUGAGGUCAUGAAUUCAUCGAUUUAUACAAGUGAUUCAUCCAAGUGAAGUCAUUCAUUCAUCUGAGGUCAAUUCACUGAUGUUGGGAACUCGUUGAUAAGGUCAACUUGGUCAUUAGUAGGAAAAGUCCAUGUGACUCUGAUCAAAAUAAUAAAAAGAAUCUUACAAGCUGGCAGGCCCCUCAGUAUCUGGGUUUCUAUUGUCCCACUGAAGUCGCCCACAGGGUAAGAGAAAUUCUGAUAAAUGCAGGGUCAUCUAAUCCUAAUUUUCUAAUUGGGAAACUUUUCAACUUCUUAUUAUCUAGUCAGCAUCUGCUCCUGUAUUUUAUAAAUGAUCACAACUAAGAGUCUUCGCUAGUGCUGUGAGGUCUGGUAGGAAGAGUGAAUCCUUUUAGAUGGUUUGGAAUCUUUGGUAUUUCAAAUGAAAAAUCAUCUCUCAACUUUCCUUUCCAUUUUUUAAAGCUUCAAAAUGGCAUUGCCUUUUCUCUGCCAUUUUGCUGUUCUGCAGGCUUUUCAGCUACCAUUCACUCUGGCUAGAUCCUACCCCUGAACCAGCCCAGCGGCUGCUGCCUCCAGGAAGUGUUACUGCUCUUUUGGGAGCAAGACAUUUGAGCCACAUGCCUCAGGCUAGUCAACACAUCUUCAGCUCUGUAUAUAAACAGCCCUAAAUUAUGCCUUACAAUGAUUUACAAAAGGGCCACUUAGGCAACUUAUGGAGUUUCCCAAGUCCCCACUCUCAAAUUCUAUUUCUGGGCAAAUGAUUGCCUUUCAUCUCUUCCCCACUUGUCCUGAUGGUAUAUUCCCUCUCACACAAUAAGCAUCUCCCACUGAAUCUCUCUGAGGCUGGGGAUAAACAUUCAAAACCUUUUCUUAUUUCUUCCAACCCUACCCAUCCCUGCCACUCUGAAUAUGCAUUUAGUCAUACAAAUAGCCCUGUGUUUCAAUAAAUUUCCAGAAAUACUAAGGCAUAGAAGAAAAAAAAAAGAAAAGUUGGUGUCUUAUGCUAUUAUUCCAAAAUCCUCAUCCCUAAAGGUUCAUGCUACCUUAAAUAGUAUCUGUUUAAGAUUUGGGUGACAUGUUUUAGGAAGGAUUUUGACAAGCUAGAGCACAUCCAGAGAAGGGUGAACACAAGAUGGUGUAGGGACUGGAGACCAUGCCAUACGAGAAUCAAUUGAAGGAACUGGGGAUAUUUAGCCUAGAAUAAAGAGAUUAGGAGGUGCAUGAUACCUUUCUUUUAAAUAUUUUGACAUCUGUCAUGCAGAAAAUAGAUUAGAUUAGGUCUGCUUAACCCUGGAGGACAAAACAAAGCAUAAUGGUUGGAAAAAGCAGAGAGGCCAAUUUUGACUUGAUGUAAGAAAAUACUUCCUAAGAAUUAGAGUAAUCCCCAAAAGAAAUGGUCUGCAACACAAGGUUUUCCUUUACUAGAGCAUUUCAUUUGAUGUUUAGAUGCCUUUGGAGGGGUAGUGAAAUGGCAAUUUCCAUAAAGGUAUGGGUUGUAGUAUAUGGUCUCAAGUCCCAAAUCUGAGUGUGUCUGUGAUCCCACAAUUCUGCCAGUGUCCUCUCUUGUUUCUCCUAAUUUCAUUGAAGAGCAUGACUCUUAAAUUGCUUCAGACAUUUCAGUCUUAUCACUGCUGAAAAAUCUAACAAUCAUUUUGAUACUUAGAAGCAAUUUUCCCAUGUCUCGAUCAUGUCUAAAUAAGUCUUCUAGAGGCGCUCAGAACUCUCAAUCUCAUCACAUUUCCUCUCAAACAUUACACUGUAUUUCUUUUUGCUCUUGUACAUUUAUCAUGUAUUAUGUACAUAUGUGCACAUAUACAUGAAUAGACAUGCAUAUGCAUAUAUACUCAUAUAGCAUAGACUCACAGAAUCAGAGUUGCAAGGUAUCUUAGAGGACACUGAAUCCAAAUUGUAUCAUAUACCAAAGAAGACUGUAAACUCCAUAAGAUCAAUGACCACAUUUCAUGUAAAUGUUUUAUUUCUGCUUUAUUACCUUGGGGAUUUACAUGCCUCAAUUUCUUCAUCGACAUUUUUAAAAAUUAUUGCUAUCUUUUAUUUUUAACUCCAACUUCAUUUCUGUGUACAUUACUCUUUCCUCCCUUCCUGAGAAAACAAUCCCUUAUAACAAAGAAGAAAAAAAGAAGAAAGCAGUUCAACAAAACAAAUUUGGCAUCAUAUACAAUUUUCCACACCCAUAGUUCCCCACCUUUGGAAAUAAAAGAAGAAAAUGCAUUUUUUUUCCUCUUUGAGUCCAAAGCUAUAUCAUUAUAAUUAUACCCACUGGAGUUUUAAAAAUUAUGUUAUUGUUUCUAUUUACAUUGUUGUUAUUGUGCAUAUUACUUUCCUCGUUCUGUUUACUUCUCUUUUGAUCAAUUCAAAAGUCCAUGCUUUUCUGUGAUUUUAUUUUCAUAUUUGUUCUUGCAGUAUAGUAAUAUUCCUUUACUUCCAUGUACCCCAGCUUGUUUUGGUAUUUCUCAUUUGAUAAGUAUUCCCUUUGUGUCUAGAACUUUGUACCUUUAAAAAGUGCUAUCAAUAUUUUGGUUUAGAUGAGACUUUCUUUUUCUCUUUUUGCCCUUGAAGUAUAUAUCCCACAGCAGGAUCUCUAGGUCAAAGGAGGAGAUCAAGAUUUGCUGAAUUUUUAUUGUCUCAUCAACAAACAUAUUAAGUGUACAUCAGUGAAUUUCUCUCUUGUUUUAAAUAGAUUUUCUUUUCCCAUUUUCUUCCUGAAUUUGUUUCAUAAUAGAAAGAAAAGUUGAUUAUUUUUCACAUUUAGUUUGUAUUUUACUGCUUUUCUUAAUAUAUGAUCUUGAUUAAUUUUUUUUCAGUUUUCUGGUGUUGUUCCAGAACAACAUGUUCUAAUCUACAAAUAUUCACAAUUUCAGCUUCUCUUUGUUUGUACUUACUCUAUUCAUGUCUUUUUCUUGAAUUAUUGUCAUAGCUAGCAUUUCUAGCAUUAUGUCAAAUAACAGUAGAGAUGAAUAGCAUCCUUAUUUUUAUCCCCAACUUUAUCAGGAAAACUUAACAAUAAUGCUAGCUAGCUCUUGGUUUUUGAAAAGGUAAAUACUCUAUCAUAAGGUAAGUUUCUUUCAUGGCAAUGCUUUUUAGCAUUUUUAACUUACUAUGAGUAUCACAUUUAGUGAAUAGUCCUAUAUUAAUUAAAAUAUUGGGAGAUAGAUAAUUAUUUUAAAAUUCAUACAGAUGAAAUAAAAUGUCAAGAAUCUUAAUGGUUAAUACUAAAAGAAAAAAAAGGCAGAAAGGAGGAGAACUUACUAUUACCAGAUCUCUAAACUUACAUUAUUACAAAAUUACAAAAUUAUAUUAUUACAAAAUAAUUAUUAAAUCUAGUACUAGGUAAAAAAUUAGAAAUUAUAUCAGUAGGAUAGAUUUCAGGGGCAAGAACUAGACACAAAUACAAUAUUCUAAUGUGUAAUAAAUUCCCAAACCCAAAAUAUAGGACUCUAUUCUAUGAGGUCUACUGGGAAAAUUGCAAAUCGGAAUGGCCAAAAGAAAGAAAGAAUGGUUUAGACCAACAUCUUAUACCAUGUCUCACCAAAAAAAAAAAAAUUGUGUAAAUGGAAAAUGGAAGAAUAUGAUUUUCAUAACUGUAUAUAGAGGAAAUAUCCAUAAUUUUCCUGAUUCAGAAAGAUAUUAAAAGAGAUAAAAUAGUCAUCCUCAUUAUGUCCAAAUAAAACAGUUAUGUAAAAUUUUGAGUAUAAGAAGAAAAGAUACAAAAUGAAAAGAAGCUUUGCGUUCAGUUCCUCUGAGUGUAGUCUAUUGGCAAUUACUUUGGAUAUAUUUUCUAUUAUCUCAUAUGUCUGUAUGUUGUUUCCCCCACUAGAAUGUAAGUUCCUUGAUAGCAGAGACUGUUUUGUUUUUGUCUUUGUAGCUCCAGUGCCAAGCACAUGGCCUAACUUAUAGUAAGCAUGUAACAACUGAUUGUUGAUAAGUUAAUUAAGAGGUAUUCCCCAGUGAUCAAGUGAUCAAAAGAUGUGAACAAAUAGUUUGUAAAAGAAACAUAAAAUAUAAAUGACCACCUAAAAAAUUUUAACAAAAUCAGUAUUAGAGAAAUGCAAAUUGAGAUAAACCAAAGGUUUCAUAUAAUAUUUAUAAAACUAGCAGAGAUUACAGAAAACAAAAAUGUAAAAAUAAAUGUUGAAGGGAAUAAAGAUCAGCAAGCUUAAUUUACUGAUAGAUGUUUUGGGAAAAAUAUAUAUAAGAAAAGUUACUAAAUUGUCUAUGCUAUUUAAACCAUAGAUCAUAGUACUAGGAUUGUGACCUAAACUAGAUCAUCAAUAGCCAAAAUAAACUUUUUAAUACAAAAAUAUUUGUAGCAGCAUUCCUAGUGUUAACAAAAAGUUAAAUCUUCACAUAGUUUCUGUGCAAAAUGCAUACUUUGUAGAUUCAAAUUCUUUCUUGCAUGGAAGACCAUCUUGAUCUUAGUACUUCUACUUCUCCUUGUCUUGGAAGUCUUUCUCCAUUGCCUAAAGUAGAGGAUGAUGUAUAAAGAAGGCAUUUGUGCUUAAUGAUGCUUUGUCUUUUCCUCUUUUUCCUAGUAGUGUCUCAUGUUCACCAUGUUUUCACAAAGGACUCAGCUGUUCAAAGAUUCCUUUACCUCAUACUGCAAGGACUUAAGAACUUCUAGAGUAAAAACCAGUCAGCUGUCCAGAAAAGAUAGAUUGUGGUUGCCCUAAACAAACAGGGAAAUUACUCUUGCUCUCCAUCCUCCUCUUGUCAGGGUCCCACGUAUGAAUUUCCUUUUCUUAGAACUCACAGAGCUAGCUUAUCAUCAGUGGGCUCUUUGUCAAUGUCUUGACACAGUGGUAACAGUGCUAUUGGGGGAUGUCCAAUAGUAUAUUUUCCUCACAGUUUUUCCUAAAGGAUCCCAGAUAAUGUCCAAAACUACCAGAGUCCAAGCUGAGACUCCAAAGUAACCUUUCUAAUUUCACAGGUCUGACAUGGGUGUAGUAUGCACAGCUAACCUAUUUGUCCUCUUAGGCUUGGGGCCAGAGGAGAUAAAGAGCUUUUCCUUGUAGUUUAAUCAAAGAGGUUAGGAAGUAGGCAUGGGGUAAAUCUGUUAUUGGGGUCUCUGUGCAUUGGUGGUUCCUCUGGCCAGGCUGGGGUGAAGUCUUCUCUUUAACCACCGACUUCUGCAAAACCAAUGAAAAUCCCAUGAGCUUAUUUUUUUCCUUGCUAUUCGCUCGCUUUCCUUUCUCUUAGAAUGAUGGGCACCAAGAAAGGAUGAACAGUGAUGGCAAUUUUGCUGUGGACAUUUUCUGGGGAGAGGGAGAAAAUUCUUUUCCCCAUCUGUAGGCCUGGACAGAACCAGCCCAAGCCUUGUUCACUCCACUGAAGUAUUGAGGGACAAUCAGGGUUCUUCACCAAGGAUGAUGGGGAAAAGGGGAAGGUAUUAUCCAUUCCUCACCCCCUUCCUGGUUCAUUAAGGUAAAACUAGUUUUUAACUAGUUUGUGUAGUGAGAUGGCUGAUGUGAAGACACAUAAACAGAAAUGAAAGGUAACUGCUACUUAAUGGCAGAUAAAAACUCAUUAUCUUUGCUCAAUUCUCUUCUCCCUUUACUCCUUUUUUCUCCUCUUUUCCUCUUCUUCUCAUAGUGUAUAAUCAUAAUGUUAGCUACUCUGUUUAAUGUAAUGGGACAAAAGAAACCAAUAGUUGUUCAUUGUUUCUUGUAAUCAUAUCAAUAAAGCACUGUUAUUAUGA